rnacentral:rRNA from 1 species
GUCUGUUUGUAGUUGUAGAGAGUUUAACCUGCCCACUGACAAAAUUUAAAGGCCGCGGUAAUUUGACCGUGCAAAGGUAGCAUAGUAAUUAGUUUCUUAAUUGGGAUCUUGUAUGAAUGGUUGGACAAGAAAAAAUCUGUCUUUAUAUUUAUUAUGGAAUUUAACUUUUAAGUGAAAAGGCUUAAAUGAAUUAAAGGGACGAUAAGACCCUAUAAAACUUUAUAUUGUUUAUUAUAUAGCUAAAUUUUUUUAUAUAAAGGCUUAGUAGUAUAAUUUAUUAUAUUGGGGUGAUAAAGGUAAAAUUUUGGAUAACUGUUUAAUUUUUUAAACAAAAAUAGAUGAAAUGUAAGAUGAUCCUUGUUAAAGAUUAAAAGUUUAAGUUACUUUAGGGAUAACAGCGUUAUUUUCUUUGAGAGUCCCUAUCGAAAAGAAAGUUUGCGACCUCGAUGUUGAAUUAAAAUUUCUUUAUAAUUGUAGUAGUUAUAUAAGAAGGUCUGUUCGACCUUUAAAUUUUUACAUGAUUUGAGUUCAAACCGGCGUGAG